rnacentral:lncRNA from 1 species
GGAUAUGUUUUCCCUGAAUUGUCUUCGUGUUUAUUUUUUAUUUUUUAUUUAUUUAUUUUUAAAGAUUUUAUUUAUUUAUUUGAGAGAGAGAGAGCGAGCGAAAGAACGCACAAGCCAGGGGAAAGGCAGAGGGAGAAGCAGACUCCCUGCUAAGCAGGGAGCCCGAUGCAGGACUUGAUCCCAGGACCCUGGGAUCAUGACCUGAGUCGAAGGCAGAGGCUCAACCAACUGAGCCACCCAGGGGCCCCAUUUUGUUUUUUUAAUAGUCAUUUUUAUUUAUUUAAGUAAUCUCUACACUCCAUGUGGGACUCAAACUCACAACCCCAAGAUCGAGAGUUAUAUGCUCUUCUGACGGAGCCAGCCAGGAGCCCCUGAAUUAUCUUAUUUUUGUUUGUUUUAUCCACAGGGAAAUUGACAUUCAGAGAGGCGAAGUGACUUGCCUCGGCUCAUACAGCCAAGGUCUGAGUGAUACCAAAGUCUGUGAUCAAAUCCUCUCCCCAGGGGACUAUUCAGGGCCCAGUCCUGGGCAGGCACCGAGUUUGGCAACAGUAGGACAGAGCUGCCUCACAGAUGGAACAGUGUGAUGCUCGCUCCCAUGCCCCCAAGACACCCCGGCACACACCCCAGCCACUCCCUGCCUGGGCAGUCUCCUGCAGUGAAAGCCGGCUCCUGGGUUCCAGCUCCAACCCCGAGGCAGUGAGACUGGAGCUGUGUGUGGGGGACCCACGCCCUGGCCUCAGAGCCAUUUUUUGGCCAGUGUUCUCCUCCAUCUCCUCUGCCCCUGGAGGAGAAGUCACCAGUGUCCCAAGGCUCUGGGAGGCAUGUUCAGGAAUGUGGCAGCCAUCUAUUUGCAUCUGGCCGGGCUCCUCCAGAGAAAGAAGGCUGGAACUUCUCUCACUCGGUGCUUGCACCAGACUUUCGCCAUGGCCAAGCGGCUGCAGGCUCGCAGGCUGGACGGGAUUGACCACAACCCAUGGUGAGCUGCGCAGGG